CGUUGAUAGGUUGGGUGUGUAAGCGCUGUGAGGCGUUGAGCUAACCAAUACUAAUUGCCCGUGAGGCUUGACCAUAUAACACCCAAGCAAUU
rnacentral:rRNA from 3 species